UACAGAGGGUGCAAGCGUUGUUCGGAAUCAUUGGGCGUAAAGGGCGCGUAGGCGGCCUUGUAAGUCGGAUGUGAAAGCCCAGGGCUCAACCUUGGAAGUGCAUCCGAAACUGCGAGGCUCGAAUCUCGGAGAGGGUGGUGGAAUUCCCAGUGUAGAGGUGAAAUUCGUAGAUAUUGGGAGGAACACCGGUGGCGAAGGCGACCACCUGGACGAAGAUUGACGCUGAGGCGCGAAAGCGUGGGGAGCAAACAGG
rnacentral:rRNA from 1 species